AACACUCUGAGAGGGAGAUUUGUGUGCCUGUGAGGGGCAGAUAAUACAGGAUCGGGCAGAGGGAGAAGUGGAGCUGUGAUAUAGUCAUAGCAGAGGAUGCAGCUGGUCCCUCAGGGCUUAGGCCUGGGGUGGCCUUCAGAGAUGUCCCAAAUUGAUGCCGGAGUGGAGACUCGACCGGUCACUGGAUGUGUGCUUCCCCUCCCCCCAGGGACAAAAAUGUGGCUCUCUUGGGCCUCAGCUGUGAGCUGUGAGCAGCCGACACUCCUGCAGCUGGAGGAAGGGUCUUGGUCCUGGAUGACUGGUGUGGGUGGCAAACCCCAAAUCUGCGAUCAACAGUACGCUGAUGUUUAAACAUGUGGAACUGAGGCUUCCCAAAUGGAGUGACGUGAUGCGAGGACUUCUGCUGGAGAGUGACUGCCCGCUCUCCCAGCCCUCAGCUUCCCUCCAGCUAGCCCAGAGCCGCAGGUUUCUGGCCCAGGUGCAGGCGUGGUGUUUUUCAGAGCCCUCCACCCGUCUCCUUUCCUGACCUUAGAUACUGGCUGGUCCCCGUUUGGCUCCAGAUGGCGGGCGACCCAGUUCCUUCCCCUCCCAGCUUCCCUGGGCUGACUCCCUUUAAGCACCCAUGGGCUUGAGCCAGCAGAUUUGGAAUUAAUUGAUUUAUUGGGCAAUGAAUACACAAUCUCAUCCCUCCCACUCUGAAAUUUAGCCAGAGGGCCUGCAAUGCCACAUUUUGCCAACAGGUGGUGCUGCCUAACACGAAAGCUCUCUGGCCCCGGGUCCUCAAGAUGGACUUCGGGGAUCAUUAAAAUAGCAGUCAUUGGUGAGGGGCAUCCUGACAGGGCACGGGGGACACAGUUACCGCCUAACACCACCACCACCACUACGCAACAACAGCCAUUUCAGUACCAAGAACUCAGGAAGACACAUCCAAAUAAAGACCGUCCUUGAAACGGAAUCUCUUUCAUUUUAAGAAAAGCUCGGUCCUGCAGUUCUUAUCAUUUCACCUCAGGUGGCUGAAAACUUAACUCUAGACCGGCAGCGGCCCUGGACUGGCCUUCAAGAACCCUUGCUCUCGACAAAGACUCCAGCAGUUGGAGGUUCCUCCAACCUCCAAAUGCAGUUUCUGUACAAAUGAACUUGCUUCCAAUUAAGGAAACCUUUUGUCCGCAGGGAGAGACGCACUAGGCCUUUCCUCCUUUUGUGGCUGCAGUGGAGCCGCCAGCCGCUUUCAAGCAGCCCCAUCCUGAGCACCCAGAUGCAACCCCACUACCCCUCUGGCUAUUCCUGAUGUCUUCCUUUGUCUACAAAGUCAAAAGAACUCAGCAUUCCACACCAGCAGCCUCAUGAUCCAGGCCUGCCUCACGCGCCAGGAUCACGAGAGCCGCCUCUAACCCACCCCCAAAACAACAAAAGGAUGCGCUCUGGCCUUGCCAACUUCAGUGCCUGGGACAAGCCGGCUCGUGCCCGCCGCCUCGGCUGCAGGGCCCUCCACCUGCAGCGCUUUCGUCCCUACCUGGCGUUCACCGUUCUCACCCAUCACAUCAGCACAACGUGACCUUGUGGGGAGCCACCUCCUCUGCUCCCAAGACACCUGGUGCGUAACGAUUACAGAGCACCCGUCCUGCCGUGAUGCUGUCACAGUCCCCCAAAGGCUGUGGACCCAUCUGGGGCACGGACUGUUUCUACUUGGCUUGUGUUUCCUCAUCAGGGCUCCACACACAAAAAGCACCCGACACCUCCCCACUGAGUUGAUUCUCCCUGUUGUUGAUUCUGCCUGUUGUUGAUUCUGCCUGUUGUUGAUUCUCCCUGUUGUCGAUUCUCCCUGUUGUUGAUUCUCCGUUGUUGAUUCUCCCUGUUGUUGAUUCUGCCUGUUGUUGAUUCUGCCUGUUGGCAAACACACCUGGGUCAGCGUUUCAACUUCCCAACUUAAGAUCUUUUCAGUAAACCCAGG
rnacentral:lncRNA from 10 species